rnacentral:rRNA from 1 species
GAGCCUACGGGAGGCAGCAGUGAGGAAUAUUGGUCAAUGGGCGGGAGCCUGAACCAGCCAAGUCGCGUGAGGGACGACGGUCCUAUGGAUUGUAAACCUCUUUUGUCGGGGAACAAAGGGCGCCACGUGUGGCGUUGUGAGUGUACCCGAAGAAAAAGCAUCGGCUAACUCCGUGCCAGCAGCCGCGGUAAUACGGAGGAUGCGAGCGUUAUCCGGAUUUAUUGGGUUUAAAGGGUGCGUAGGCGGUCCGGAAAGUCAGCGGUAAAAGCCCGGGGCUCAACCCCGGCGAGCCGUUGAAACUGUCG